UACGGGGGGGGCAAGCGUUGUUCGGAAUUACUGGGCGUAAAGGGUUCGUAGGUGGCUUGCUAAGUCAGACGUGAAAUCCCUCAGCUUAACUGGGGAACUGCGUCUGAGACUGGUGAGCUUGAGUGCAGGAGAGGAACGCGGAAUUCCUGGUGUAGCGGUGAAAUGCGCAGAUAUCAGGAGGAACACCAAUGGCGAAGGCAGCUCGCUGGGACGGUACUGACGCUGAGACGCGAAAGCGUGGGGAUCAAACAGG
rnacentral:rRNA from 1 species